UCUGCCUCAAUCUCAGCAAGUGCACACAUGCAGGAGAACAGGGGUUCAGAGUACAGUCUGGUCAACAUCUGAGUCUGCCUGGGCUCCUGUCACCAAAUCCGAAGUCCCAAUGUAGAGUGCCAACCACUCCCCAACGCUGAAGAAGACACUGGUACACUGGAUAAGUGUUCUAUUCCCAGCCACUGAGGAUCCUGAACUGUUCAAGAGCUUACAACCUCUGAAAACCUGGAUGAGUCUUCCAUAGGAAUGAAGAACAUAAAGGCUUUGAUUCAUACCAAGAA